GCGGAAGAGUGAAACGGACAUACAAAUCACGCUGGUCUCAUAAACCAGAGAUAGUUGGUUCGACUCCAAUUUUCCGCG
rnacentral:tRNA from 1 species